ACUUGAAAAAAAAGUUCAAAUUUUUUGUAAUGUUGAAUUCUCUCUUAUUAUAAGUACCGGUAAUAGGAUAACUAUAUUUGAUAUGUGCAUACCUUGCAAGGUCCUCAUGUCUGUCAGACAGUUUUCACUUGACUUCGACCUCAUUUCAUGGAUCAGUGAACAAGGUUAAGUUUUGGUGGUCAAGUCCAUAUCUCAGAUACUAUAAGCAAUAGGGCUAGUAUAUUCGGUGUAUGGAAGGACUGUAAGGUGUACAUGUCCAACUGGCAGGUGUCAUCUGACCUUGACCUCAUUUUCAUGGUUCAGUGGUUAGUUAAAUUUUUGUGUUUUGGUCUGUUUUUCUCAUACCAUAUGCAAUAGGUCUAUUAUAUUUGUUGUAUGGAAUGAUUGUUAAGUGUACAUGUCUAGCGGGCAGAUGUCAUGUGACCUUGACCUCAUUUUCAUGGUUCAGUGGUCAAAGUUAAGUUUUUGAGUUUUGGUCUUUUUAUCUAAUGCUAUAUGCCAUAGGUCAACUAUAUUUAGUGUAUGGAAAUAUUUUAUGAUCUUUAUGUCAGUCGAGCAGGUUUUAUUUAACCGUGACCUCAUUUUCACGGUUCAUUGCACAGUGUUAAGUUUUUGUGUUUUGGUCUAUUUUUCUUAAACUAUAAGUAAUGUGUCAACUAUAUAUGUUGUAUAGAAGCAUUGUUACCUGUACCUGUCUGCCUGGCAUGGUUCAUCUGACCUGGACCUCUUUUUCAAGGUUCAUUGGUCUUUGUUUAGUUAUCUUGGUUAAUGUUAAGUUUAUGUGACAGUUGUAAUAAAGCUUAGCUUUAUACUUAAGACUAUCAACAUAAUAUCAAUGAUUAGUAUAGAAGGCGAGACAUUUCAGUGUGUGCACUCUUGUUUUUUUAAAGUAUUGCAAUCUCUAAUAUUUUUUUUAUUGUCUAGAUCAUUUUAAUGUACAUUGUAUAAAUAAAAAUGUGUUGCAUGCUGAGUAUUUUUAUAACUUAUUAUAAACAUGACAGUAAUUCAAUCAUUGCAAUAUUGUACAUAAACUGUACCAUGAGAGUCAGUUGUGAUGUUGAAGCUAUGGUAUUGUUUUUUAUACGACCGCAAAUUUUGAAAAAAUUUUCGUCGUAUAUUGCUAUCACGUUGGCGUCUGCGUUGUCGUCGUCGUCGUCGUCGUCGUCGUCGUCGUCGUCGUCGUCGUCCGGCGUCCGAAUACUUUUAGUUUUCGCACUCUAACUUUAGUAAAAGUGAAUGGAAAUCUAUGAAAUUUUAACACAAGGUUUAUGACCACAAAAGGAAGGUUGGUAUUGAUUUUGGGAGUUUUGGUCCCAACAUUUUAGGAAUUAGGGGCCAAAAAGGGCCCAAAUAAGCAUUUUCUUGGUUUUUCGCACUAUAACUUUAGUUUAAGUUAAUAGAAAUCUAUGAAAUUUUGACACAAGGUUUAUGACCACAAAAGAACAGUUGGGAUUGAUUUUGGGA
rnacentral:lncRNA from 1 species